rnacentral:rRNA from 1 species
AGUCUGGUGCCAGCAGCCGCGGUAAUACCAGCUCUUCUAGCAUAUAUUAAAGUUGCUGCAGUUAAAACGCUCGUAGUUUGAAUUAUUUCGGGUCGCGGCGGUCGGAGGAUUUAAUUUCUCAGGCUGUCGCGGCACGAAUUGAAGCGCGGGUCCAGGCGGUUAAGUCCGGCUGGGUCCAGUUAACCUUGAAAAAAUAUUGUCGCUCAAAAAAGGACGGAACGUCUAUUGAGAUUUCAGCAUGGGAUUAUGAAAAACGGGGAGGGGGCUCGGACUGGGGUAACACCCAGGCUGGCCCCCUUCCAAUGGUUAAUGAGGACGAUGCGUGGGAGUUCAUAUUAGUGUGUCAGAGGUGAAAUUCUUGGAUUACACUAAGAUGAACAUCAGCGAAGGCGUUCUUCAAGUGCGUGCCUGUCGAUCAAGAACGAAAGUUGGGGGAUCGAAGACGAUCAGAUACCGUCGUAGUCUCAACCUUAAACUAUGCCGACUAUGAAUAGGAUAUCGUUUUAAGGGCGGCGUAAAAAACCGCCCUGAUGACUUCUCCUGCGCAUUAAAAGAAAUUAAGAGUUUUUGGGUUCCGGGGGGAGUAUAGUCGCAAGGCCGAAACUUAAAGGAAUUGACGGAUGGCACCACCAGGCGUGGAGCCUGCGGCUUAAUUUGACCCAACACGGGGAAACUUACCAGGUCCAGACAGCGUGAGGAUUGACAGAUUGAUAGCUCUUUCAUGAUUCGUUGGGUGGUGGUGCAUGGCCGUUCUUAGUUGGUGGUGUGAGUUGUCUGGUUGAUUCCGUUAACGAACGAGACCUUUGUUGUAUAAUACGAGGCGCUAGUUAUUGCGUCAAGGGCGGCGGCUCCUUCUUGAGAUACGAGCAAUCGCCUUGGGAAAAGGGUUGUCGCUUGCAAGCUAGCGUCAGUUUCGUUCUAUACAAGACAAAUACAGAAAAUGUAUUGGAAGUUAUAGGCAAAAACAGGUCUGUGAUGCCCUUCGAUGUUCUGGGCUGCACGCGCGCUACAAUGACAAUGUCAGCGAGUUUUUCAGCUUGUGCGAAAGCACUGGCAAAUCUUCGAAACGUUGUCGUACUAUGGAUUGUUGAUUGCAACUAUUCGACAUAAAACAGGAAUGCCUAGUAGACGUGCUUCAUCAGAGUACGUCGAUUACGUCCCUGCCCUUUGUACACACCGCCCGUCGCACCUACCGAUUGGGACAUACGGUGAAAAUCUCGGAGGAGGUAGUUCUCGGCGUGGAGUU